CUACGGGUUGCAGCAGUGGGGAAUAUUGGACAAUGGGCGAAAGCCUGAUCCAGCAAUGCCGCGUGUGUGAAGAAGGCCUGCGGGUUGUAAAGCACUUUCAGCUGGGAAGAUUAUGACGGUACCAGCAGAAGAAGCACCGGCUAACUCCGUGCCAGCAGCCACGGUAAUACGGAGGGUGCAAGCGUUAAUCGGAAUUACUGGGCGUAAAGCGCGCGUAGGCGGCUAAGUAAGUCAGGUGUGAAAGCCCUGGGCUCAACCUGGGAACUGCAUUUGAUACUGCUUGGCUAGAGUAUGGUAGAGGGGAGUGGAAUUCCAGGUGUAGCGGUGACAUGCGUAGAUAUCUGGAAGAACAUCAGUGGCGAAGGCGACUCCCUGGCCCAAUACUGACGCUGAGGUGCGAAAGCGUGGGGAGCAAACAGGAUUAGAUACCCGAGUAGUC
rnacentral:rRNA from 1 species